AUUGGGUCGGUGCAAGUGACUAGUUGUUUCUAUCUCUACAUUAAUUUGGCUUAUGGAUGACAUUAUGAUAUUCUCUGUACCACUUUUAAAAUAUUGCCAAGUAAAUUAUUCCAUAAUAUUUAAUUCCAUUUGAAGUUCUUUCUUAUGUUAAUUUGAAAAAUGAGCAAACGAAAAUUAAUUUACAGAACUAAUAGAGAAGUUAAGAAGGAUAAUUAGAAGUACAAUGAUCAAUUCAUAAGCACGUUUAUCAAAAUUUUGCUUCAAAACAAUAUACCAAUAGGCAUAAGUCUUGCAGCAGUUAUGACUUUCUCAGUAGCGAGUAAACAACAACAACAACAACCCCCACUAAUAUCUCACAAACAAGAUCUAAAGAAGGUAAUGAGUAUACAGACCAUAUUUCUAUUGAAAGAAAGUAGUAAAAUUGUUUUUGAAAAACUAUCGGCACAAGAAGACAAUAGCUAGUAAACAACCUAAGAGAAUAAUAGAAUAAAGAACAGAGAAAUCAUUUUUAUUUUAUGAUUUUACACUUAAUAUGCAUAUGCUUCAAAAUAGCUGGGUAGUUAAUAAUCUCAAGUCCCCUUUCUUUUUUUUUUGUUUUCCACCGAAGUUCGAUGCACGCAUUGAAGCUCCACUAAAUUCGAUCUACCUCGAGAACAGUCUCAAUUGAGGGUAAAGCCAGGGGCGGAAGAGGGUUUACUACCUGAACCCCCUUCGUCAGAAGAUUACAUUAAAUAUAAGGCAAAUUUCAUUUUUUACCUCUAUAUAUUAUAUUUUGAAUCCUCUUGACAAAGCCCAAAUGCAUUGCUGAAUAGUUAAGGAGGUUCAAACCUUUGUGAGUCAAAUUCCCAUUGGCCACAAUCUCUUUUAAUUUUUUUUAUUUUUCUUUUUUUGAACACCUUUAACAAAAAUUCUGGUUCAGCCACUGCGUAAACCGCUCCCUAGCAGCCCUUGAUAUGUUGAAAUUGCUGAAAAUGCUUCUGAGCUGCUAUAUUGCUAGCAUUUGCUGUAUCGUCAGUGAUUUCCCUGUUAGUUAAUUGUGUCUCAGUGUCAUGAUUUUCAUUAAUAAAUAUCUCAUGACAAAGAAAUUGGAAAAGGGUGCUCAUAACACAACCCAAAAUUGGAAUUCUUGAAAGAAUAUAUGCAGUUUGUUGUAUAUUCAUGGCAAUUCACUCAAUGAAAAUUAGUAAAAGAGUUUGAAGAAUGGCUAGUGAGUCUUGAAUAUGUGAAGAAGUUGAAUUAAUUUAUAGUUGGGACCAAAAAGUUUGAUAACUCAGUCCAUUAAUUUGCUUUAUUUACUUGACACCCAUGUCCUACUUUCUUGUCAUUUUCCUGCCUUCUUUUUGUUCUUGUAAUUAAUGGUGGGACCAAAAAGUUUGAUAACUUAGUCCAAUAAUUUGCCACCUUCCACUUUCUUGUGAUUAUCUUUGUCUUGUGCAGAAAGAUAAUAGUGGCCACCUUAAAUUGACUGACCUUUAUUAAAGUUUAAACCGAGGUGCAAGACUAACUAGGGAUGGAUAUAAAAUUUGAAGUUUAAAGUUAUUUAGCAAACCCAAGAUAAUAUUUAUAGAUAUUUAAUAAAAAAAUUUAAUUUAUAUAUAUAGGACAUGUGCAAAAAUUACUGCAGGUAUGUUAAUCCAUAAUAUUACAUGGUAGAUACGUCCCCGAGACUAACUAUGUAAGGAUUAAUGUGUGGUUUGUGGGUGAUGACGUAUUAGAACUUGACUAUGUUUUGGUUCAAACAAAGUUGGGUUAAGUUAUUAGUCGAUAAGAUUAUCUGACUAUCUGUGUUUGCUAUGAUAAAAGCCAUUUAAAAAAAAAAUCUUUUUUCAUCAAAAGAGAAAUAUGACAAGAAAAUGAAACCUGGGUGUCAAGUAAAUUAAUGGACUAUAAAUGAAUUCAGCUUCUUCACAUAUUCAAGAAUCUCAUGCAUCUUCAAACACUUUUACUAGAAAAGGUAUGUAUGUUACACUAGCUAUCAUAUCUAUUCUCGCAUGAAAAAUAUUGGUGUUUAUUGAUCAAUCUCUUUCAUUUUCACAUCGUAACAACAUACUUAGUGUGGUAUAACUAGCAGCGUUGGGAUAGUAUGGCCAAAAACUUUACCUUAUGAAGGUAGAGAGACAGUUUUUCAUAAACCCUCGGCUCAAGACCAAAUUAACCAAAUUUAAUCAAUUAAACUUUUGUUACAUCCCUCUAUUCCAAUCAUUCUCGUGGAUCUAUUUUCUUCCUCCCAUGUUUUGGCUCAAGUAUAUCAUUAGUAUAUAGAUUAGACCAACAAUAAAAGUGUGAAGUUAAUAAACAUAUUUUUUUUUUAAAAAAAAAAACAAGCAUAAUAGGUAAAACGAAAGGGGUUUCAAUCACUUAUUUCCUGGUACAAGUUUUCCAAGAACAGUGCUCUCUAUAAACCGUAAACUUAGCUUCUACCACCCACAAACCAUUAAAAUCAAGAACCAAUUUUCAAACUUUGCCAAAUUUUUCAUUUCACAAAAAGCCCAAGUCUUUAUAAAUAGCCUAAAUUGGCAAACCAAAUUGUGCUAGGAUUAAUUGGGGAAAAAAUAAAAUAAAGGAUAGUUUCUAUGAUUUUGUAAAUUCUUCAGGAAGUCAUGUUUUUGGCUAAUGAUUGUGGAUUUUCAUAUGAUGAGGUUUCUUUGAUUAGGAUUGACUCGGGUGUUACAGAUAUAUCGAUAAAGAUGAAGAUAUUUGCAAUCUUUGAAGAGUGCUGCUAAUUGCUGCUUCUCUUAUUGCAGCAGCCAAGUUCAUGAUCGAGUUCAUUGCUCUACGCGAACAACUAUGGUACUAUGAGAACAAAUCUGCUCUCUGGUUUAAUAUAAAAAUAAAUUUGAUCAUUCACGAAUUUUUUUCAAACACCUAAACAAUAGAGAAGGCAGAAAUUUAAUAUAUAAGAAACCAAAUAAAAAUGGUAAUUCAAUGAAGAAUUUUCUCAAACACCUAAAGAACAAAAACCAUUGAUAUUCCUCAAUAGAAAUAUAGAUAAAGAUGAAUCAAAGAGAUAUAAAAGGGAUACUCACCAUUGAUGGAAGAAAACACACUCAAGUGCAAACUUAAGAAGAGGAGGAGAUAGAGAGCAGAUGUUCGAUUGAGGUCAAAAACCACAAUAGGUAAAACGAAAGGAGGGUUUCAGUCACUUAUUUCCCAGUAUAAGUGAGAACAUGAAAUAAGUUGAUAACUUAAAUGAAUACAUUUAGGAACCAAAAGUUUGCAAGCGAUAGACAAUACUUGAGGUCCUUACAUGAUUUCCGAAAAAAAAAAAACAAUUUCUUGCAUACAUAAGCAAAUAUUAAAUAAGUGAUUUCGGAGAGAUCAAACUUUAUGUAUAAGCAAUUGCAUCAUUGUUGGAAUAUUACUUCAUUGAAAAUUGAUAUGCUAAUCAAGAAGGAAAAAAUGAAAUGUCUAAAAAAACAAAUAUAAAAGAUGAAGAAGAACUAAAUGAA
rnacentral:lncRNA from 1 species